rnacentral:rRNA from 1 species
UGCCAGCAGCCGCGGUAAUACGAAAGGGGCAAGCGUUGUUCGGAAUUACUGGGCGUAAAGCGCACGUAGGCGGCCUUGUAAGUUGGGGGUGAAAACCCGGGGCUCAACCCCGGGCCUGCGGUGGAUACGGGCGGACUAGAGUCCGGUAGGGGAGACUGGAAUUCCUGGUGUAGCGGUGGAAUGCGCAGAUAUCAGGAGGAACACCGGUGGCGAAGGCGGGUCUCUGGGCCGGUACUGACGCUGAGGAGCGAAAGCGUGGGGAGCGAACAGGAUUAGAUA